GGAUGCACAUGCUCCCCUGCUGCAGCGCAGGGGACACAGAGAACAUGUACCUCAGGCCACAGUCCCACGACAUCGCCGGCAAAACAGCAGGACUCCUGCCUGUGAGCUGAUACUGCUCUUAAAGUAGUGUAAGAGGAGCAUGGAGCCGUUGGACACAGGUUAAGUUUGCGGCUCUGAAGUCCUCAUCAGUGCUGCUUUUGAGAUCUCCCACAUCAUUAAAUAGUGGAAGCCUCGAUAUUGCUGGACAGUUUUCUGCUUCCUGCAGUCUCCUCUUUAUGAGUAUUUCUUCCAACGACCAUGGGAGGUGAGUACUACAGCUUGAUUCUGAUGGAUAGUGAAUUAACUCUGCCAGAUUAUGUCAGCAAAAUCUACAAUAACCCUUUAGAAGGACUUUGUAAAUCUGUAUGCAGUAUCUGCAAGCAUGUAGCUGUCCAUUUUCCUGGAAUGAUUUCAAUACCAACAUUAACUUCUGAAGGCUGAAUUGGUAGUUUUAUUUAGAUAUCAUAGAGGCCAAAUGGAUAAUGGAUAGGGCCAAAUGAUUUACAAUGUCAUGACUGAGAUUUUACAGUCUAUUUAGAUGAGAAAUUCAUCUACUGUAAUAUAUGUACCCCCCCCUUUUUUUUUUACAUUACAUUUAUUUAUUGAGUAUUUUGAUGAGAAAGCUUGAGGCCAAAUUCAUCUUCAGUCUUUAUUAUGAUGAUUGUCAGUCUGAAAAAAUAAGGACAACAUACAGAAAUUUCACAGGAAAAUGAUACAAAUAUAUUGAGUGUUGCUGGUUGUAUGACAAAAGGUUAAACUUUGAUUUUAUUUCCACUGUACAUGAAGGAAAUGUGAAAACAUACAGUAGCUGAGAGUUAAUCAGUCAUUUUCCCAACAGGGUUUGUGUUCUUCAAUGAGGUGAGGUAAUGUUUAGUUCAUCAGAACUACAAAAGAAUGAAGCAAUGCUUAAUACAACACUGCUAAUAGCAGUGGUCGACAUUAGCUAUCAACAUUAGCUAUCGCUGAUUUCAAAGGUGUCACAAAAUGAAAUUUGCUUUCCUGUUGAAUUUCUAUAAAACUAUUAAUAUCACUCUUUAUAUUCGAAAGGAAAGAAAGUUUGGAAACUGGUUUUAUUUAUCUAAGUACACAAGCAAUUAGAAUAAAUAGUUUGUAUAAAGUUUGACUAAAGUACAUGGUGUGAUGUGAUAAUGUUUUUUGUUGUAAUCCAUAAGCCAGGUUUACAUGCAUAAAAGAAAGGCAAAUGUUUGCUUGAUUCAUCCACAGAGAAACAAACCAGGGGAAGGAAACACUUUGUCCUUUCACUUCUGUCCAUUAAAAGGGGGGCUGCCUUUCUGAUUUUUUUUUUAUCUAUUAAUCAAACAAUCUCACAUCAGUUUCCCUUUAUGCUCCUUUUUGGACAUCCUGGAAUAUUUCCAAGUGGACGGAUCAGUAACAUCGAUGCCACUUGCAGAAGUACUGUCUCGUCUUGUUUGUGUUUUUGUGUGUCGCUGUCAAGUUUUCCCUCACAACACCGGCGCUUUACUGAGUGACGGUUAGAAAUGCCUCUCCAUCCAUUCACCCUCCCAUCCAAAAAGCUAUCUAAGUUAACAGGCUU